rnacentral:lncRNA from 12 species
GAUGGGGCGGACCAGCCAGGCGCUGUGAUCCUCCUGUCGCCUUCUCUUCUCUCCCCAGCUUGGGCUAUUUUGGAAGCGUUUUGGAAGGUGAGUGGAACUGUGUGGGCAGAUCCAGUGAACUGUCCAAAUUCAUUAAACUAAAUUAUCUGCUGCUCAAGGAGAGAGCCUCAGCAGCUGAAGCCUAUCAUCAGAAACCAGCCUCACCGCCCCUUCUCCGACCCUCCAUGGCCCAUUACUUGGGAGAGACAGGCGGUGACUUCUGCUUUGGAUUGAACAAAAGGCAGUGGGAAGCACAGGCCCCAGUGAGGGGGAAGGGGGCUAAAAGCCCAAAGAGAAGCUCCACGUCUGCCCCCAACACCUGGCCCUUCCUACAAAGCUCUCCCUGUGCCACUGGGUCUACUCGGAGGAAUCUGUGUCACUUUCUAAUUGGCUGACCCCUCUAGGCUAGGACAGAGCAAGAGUGCAGGGCCUUAAAAGAAAGUUGACACAUGCACAGGUCACCAUUAUGAGAGUCACAGAGUGUGAUGGAAUCUUCCACAGACCAGAAGCAGGGCCUCUUUGAAGCUGGAAGUGGCCUGAAGUCGUCUGGUCUCACCUCCUCACGUCAUACAAGCAUUUUCUAACUCGCUGUGCCCUUUCUACACAUGGCAUGAUUAUUCAGUGAAGCGGGAGCAUGACAGUGGCUGUAGUAGCUAAGGAAUGCACCAGUUUCUGCCCCCUGGAAUCAUCGCUGCCCAACGACCUGGAUUCUUUUUUUUUUUUUUUCAACCUGAAUUCUUAAAUACUUUUUCCUCCCAGCCCAGGGGAGGGAGACACACAGAGAUGUGGAUUUCUCCUCUCAUUUCUGAUUAUGACCUGGUAAAUUCCCUUCUCUUCUCCUCUCUGUGCUUGCCAGCCCUCCUUAGUCCAGACUGAGGACAAAUAACUUUUACUGUCAUAAGCUAGUCAAUGUAUAAACUAGGAAUAGUGGCAUAAUAAUAAUAAUUCAGUAGGUAAAGGGAGACACAGGGGAAAUGUUAGAUAUAUCACAUUUUAAGUUGAGAUAGGAGUAAUCUCAUUUCUAUCAGACUUCAGUAUUCAGUGGAAAGCCUGUAAACUGAAGAUAGGUUAUCAGCCAUAAAUUGGGCUUUAUGUUCUGUGGGUUUUUAAGGAGGGCAAGUCAAGCAGCUCAACACUGGUGCUGGUUCACAUCUGGAAAGCACCAGCUGGCUCCUCCUCGCCGUGGGCAGUGCCAUGGAAGAGCACAGAGCAGACACUGAGGCCUGCGUUGUGGGCAAUGGAAUACCUCCCUCCCAGGAGUAGUGUGAUGACUAAAGGAGAGCAUGUAUGUGAAAGGGCUUUGUCCAUCACCACGCACACAAGUGCCAGCUGCUCACAGUAUCUGCUUCAAAAUUAGCAUAGACGUCUCAUGUCUGCGCUGGGUUUCGGGGAGCC